GGAGGAAGCAGGGGAUCGCAAGACCUUGCGCUAAAGGAGCGGCUGAUGUCUGAUUAGCUAGUUGGUGAGGUAAAGGCUCACCAAGGCAACGAUCAGUAGUUGGUCUGAGAGGACGGCCAACCACACUGGGACUGAGACACGGCCCAGACUCCUACGGGAGGCAGCAGUGGGGAAUUUUGGACAAUGGGCGAAAGCCUGAUCCAGCCAUGCCGCGUGAGUGAAGAAGGCCUUCGGGUUGUAAAGCUCUUUUAGUCGGAAAGAAAAGAUCAUAAUGAACAAUUAUGAUUCAUGACGGUACCGACAGAAAAAGCACCGGCUAACUACGUGCCAGCAGCCGCGGUAAUACGUAGGGUGCGAGCGUUAAUCGGAAUUACUGGGCGUAAAGGGUGCGCAGGCGGUUUUGUAAGUCAGAUGUGAAAUCCCCGGGCUUAACCUGGGAAUUGCGUUUGAAACUACAAAGCUAG
rnacentral:rRNA from 1 species